rnacentral:rRNA from 1 species
AACGUAGGUGGCGAGCGUUAUCCGGAUUUACUGGGCGUAAAGCGUGCGUAGGCGGUUCUCCAAGUCCGUUGUGAAAUCCCCGGGCUUAACCUGGGAAUGGCAGUGGAAACUAGGGGACUUGAAUCUGGCAGAGGGGGGUGGAAUUCCACGUGUAGCAGUGAAAUGCGUAGAGAUGUGGAGGAACACCGAUGGCGAAGGCAGCCCCCUGGGCUGAGAUUGACGCUGAGUGCACGAAAGCGUGGGGAGCAAACAGG